GUUCAGCCUUCCUGUAUCCAUCAGACCAUCGAGAUGGACGUUCUGUGGGACCCCCAAGAAGCAACCCUCCCUGGACUAGACAGAGUCUGUGCAGACACAGCGGGUUCUCAGCGUGGAGCCUCGCCGCCUUCGUGGUUUGUUUUUUUUGCUCACGCCGUCUCUCCCGCGGGAACCUGGACUCUGCCAAGGCUGGACCCCGGCAACCUCCUUGAUUAGAUUUAUUCCUAGUUACUUUAUUCUUUUAGUUGAGAUUGCAAAUGGAG
rnacentral:lncRNA from 1 species